AGCGAUGGUCAUCGGUUCGACUCCGAUAGCGGGCU
rnacentral:tRNA from 1 species